UUCCCGUACGAUCACCGAAGUUAAGCAACGUCGAGCCUGGUCAAUACCUAGAUUGGUGACCGCUUGGGACUACCAGGUGCUGUAAG